UUUUGGAGGUUUUUUGGUAUGGCAAAAUACACAUACAUUUUAUACUAUUUCAAAGAUAAAUUUUCUUAAAGCAAGUAUUGAUCCAACAUAGUAGUCAUUUUUUUCAAGUUAAAAUUUAUUUCUAUUGCCUUUCUUAAAAUUAAACUUUGGAUAUAAUUGUAGAUUCAUAUGCACUUUUAAGAAAUAAUAGAGAAAGCCCAGUUACCCUUGUGAGCCCAAAAGUAUCUGAGAUAGGUCUCGAUCAAUUUCAAAAGUUUUUUUUGCCAAGGUUAAGGAUGCACUAGUGACACAGCCUCAGGAUGUCCUGACAAUAUGUGCCCAAGGAGGUUGGGGAACAGCUUGCUUUUUAUGCAUUUUAGGGAGGCAUAAUACAUCAGUCAAUACAUGUAAGAUUUACAUUGGUUUGAGCUGGAAAGGCCAGACAACUCAAAGCAGAGGCUUCCAGGUCACAGGUUAGAUUUAAACAUUUUCUGAUCAGCAGUUGGUUGAAAGAGUUAUUAUCAAUAGGAAGGAAUGUCUGGGUUACCAUAAGGGGUUGUGAAGACUAGGGUUUUAUCAUACAGAUGAAGCCUUCAAGUAGCAGGCUUCAGAGAGAACAGAAUGUAAAUGUUUCUUAUCAUAUUUAAGGUCUGUGUUGAUGGUAAUGCUAGUUGGCUUUUACUGAAUUCCAAAAGGAAGGAGGGUAUACUGAGAAUGAGCCAUAGCCAACUCCCCCUUCCCAUCAUGGCCUGAACUAGCUUUUCAGGAUAACUUUGGAAUCCCCCUGGCUAUUUGGAUCGUUGGGGGGGCCUUAGAAUUUUAUUCUUGGUUUGCACUCUUUACCUUAGACACUUACCCCUAGUGAUAACAUCUUGCCAAACUGUAGUAAAAA